UGCCAGCCGCCGCGGUAAGACGGAGGGUGCAAACGUUGUUCGGAAUCACUGGGCAUAAAGCGCACGUAGGCGGUUCGGUCAGUCAGAUGUGAAAGCCCCCGGCUCAACCGGGGAAUUGCAUUUGAUACUGCCGAGCUAGAGAGUGGUAGGGGUGAGCGGAACUCCAGGUGGAGCGGUGAAAUGCGUAGAUAUCUGGAGGAACACCGGUGGCGAAAGCGGCUCACUGGACCACGCCUGACGCUGAGGUGCGAAAGCUAGGGUAGCGAACGGGAUUAGAUA
rnacentral:rRNA from 1 species